CUUGAAGUGAGUAAUCCAUGCUUUAUUGCCUCUACUUUAGGGGCAAGAAACCAAUUGGGUGUUGUGCCUAAGAACGUGGACCCUGUGGCCAGACUGCUUGGAUCAGUGUCCUCCCUCCACCACUUUGUAGCCAUCUGACCUCAGUGCUGGAGCAGAGGUACUGAAUGAAGAAGUGGAGUCUUGGGAUACCUUUGGAGGGAUCCAGUUAAUGGACUGGCUGCCAUAAUUGGUCUGAGACACUGGUGCAAGCAUGGAGAUGACAACACAGAUACUAUCCAGAGGGAUGACCAGGUGAAGAAUGACCAGGUGAAGACACAGAAAGAAGACCCCCUUCUACAAGCCAAGGAGAGAGGCCUCAGAAGAAACCAACCCUCACAACUCCUUGAUCUCACACUUUCAAUCUCCAGACAGCAUGGAAAUAAGUUUCUGUUCUUUAAGCCCCCCAGCCUGGGAUACUUUGUUAUGACCACCUCAGCAGAUGGACACAACCAGGUUGCAAAAG
rnacentral:lncRNA from 1 species